rnacentral:lncRNA from 1 species
GUUUGACAUUGGGAAGAGAAUGGCUGAGCUUUCUUCUUCCCUCCCCAUCUUCUCUUAGAGUUGAGUCUGUGUCAUAAGCACACCCUUACUGAGGAACUAUAUGCUUACUUGCCCCAUUCCUUUCUGUUGUGUUUCAGCUCCUCAGACUUAUGUUGGAACUGACUUCUCCACAGAAAGCAUGUUGAGUUCACAUUCACUGGUUAACAGGAACUGAAUCAAGAGAAAUGGAUCAAGAUGGAAGUCCAGAAAUGAAUGUAGAUAUGAUGAUUUAUGCUGUCUUACAUUCUAACAGUUCAAAAAAAAACCAUAACAAAUGAAGAAGUGGAUUGGGUCAUAUCCAGUUACGAUAUUGGUAUACAUUAUAUUUGUGGAACAAUCAAACAAAAAAGAAUCAGUGAAAAAUCAAGAAAACAAAGGGCAUUGUCUCUUCCUGUACUAGAUCUGGUUUAUGCCUAG